CAUGCAAGUCGAACGGAAAGGCCCUUCGGGGUACUCGAGUGGCGAACGGGUGAGUAACACGUGGGUGAUCUGCCCUGCACUUUGGGAUAAGCCUGGGAAACUGGGUCUAAUACCGAAUAGGACCACGCGCUUCAUGGUGUGUGGUGGAAAGCUUUUGCGGUGUGGGAUGGGCCCGCGGCCUAUCAGCUUGUUGGUGGGGUAAUGGCCUACCAAGGCGACGACGGGUAGCCGGCCUGAGAGGGUGACCGGCCACACUGGGACUGAGAUACGGCCCAGACUCCUACGGGAGGCAGCAGUGGGGAAUAUUGCACAAUGGGCGCAAGCCUGAUGCAGCGACGCCGCGUGAGGGAUGACGGCCUUCGGGUUGUAAACCUCUUUCAAUAGGGACGAAGCGCAAGUGACGGUACCUAUAGAAGAAGCACCGGCCAACUACGUGCCAGCAGCCGCGGUAAUACGUAGGGUGCGAGCGUUGUCCGGAAUUACUGGGCGUAAAGAGCUCGUAGGUGGUUUGUCGCGUUGUUCGUGAAAACUCACAGCUUAACUGUGGGCGUGCGGGCGAUACGGGCAGACUAGAGUACUGCAGGGGAGACUGGAAUUCCUGGUGUAGCGGUGGAAUGCGCAGAUAUCAGGAGGAACACCGGUGGCGAAGGCGGGUCUCUGGGCAGUAACUGACGCUGAGGAGCGAAAGCGUGGGGAGCGAACAGGAUUAGAUACCCUGGUAGUCCACGCCGUAAACGGUGGGUACUAGGUGUGGGUUCCUUCCUUGGGAUCCGUGCCGUAGCUAACGCAUUAAGUACCCCGCCUGGGGAGUACGGCCGCAAGGCUAAAACUCAAAGGAAUUGACGGGGGCCCGCACAAGCGGCGGAGCAUGUGGAUUAAUUCGAUGCAACGCGAAGAACCUUAC
rnacentral:rRNA from 1 species